rnacentral:lncRNA from 1 species
GCUGGGGGUGGGGGGCAGGGGGCAAGGGACACUUGACCCCGUUUGCAAGGGACAAGAAAGCUCCGAAGGCGGGAGGAAGGCAUCAUACAGGUGGGAGAUGGCAACAGGAAACGAAGCAGCAUCUGACGAAGCAUUGGGAGGCUGCAGUAGGCAGCCACCUGAACCCCUCAGCUGUGCCCUGAGAGUCCAGUCGCUUUGCACCCAAGCCUGGAGCCCUGGAGGACCCGGCUCACCUCCUCUGGGACUGCCCUAUCUUCACACCCUGCUGCUUGGAAUCUGAGGCAGCCCUUGUUCUCUGGCAGGAGGGGAAUUUAAUGCCGCUGAGAGCUGGCACGUCGACAGGCAGAAAGAGAUGAAAGUGUCUGCACUGGCAGCCUGGCCGGCAGCCUUGGGGGACCCUCUUGCACCUCCACCACCCUCCCCAGCCAUUCUCUACUCCUGUGUGGCAGGAACAGCCCUCAAGGGAGAUGUGGGCCUUUGGGGACAGGACUCCCUGCAGGGCUCUGUGACCCUAGGGGACAGCUGGGCCUCUCUGUGCCAUGCCUGCAGGGUGUUAGGGCCAAGGUAUGGGUUAUUACCAUGCUGGUGGCUGCCUAUCCCUCCCCUAACCCUGGCUGGCUGUCUUCAGCAGUCCCUGGUUAGCCCAGGGCUGUGGGUGGGCAGUGGGGGGCUGGGGCCAGGCUGUGCAGUGACCUCCAUCCAUCCAUCUCUGGCACCUGGGAGCGGGUGGGAGCCUGUGCUGCAAUCAGGUCAGACCCAAGUGGCCUUGACUACAGCCGAGCCAUGUAGCCAUCACUGCCUCCUUUUUUGUGGCAGCACAGAGCUGGGCUGAGCCUGGGGCCCCGAGCCAGAAUCUAUCCCUGUUGGAGAUGGUGUGGGUCUUGGCACUAACUGUGAGGUGACCUUGUUGCUCUGCAAAGCACCCUGUCAAGCUCACCACCCCACAACCCCUGGCUAUGUUGUCCUUCUUUCUUGGAACACAGAGAGGUAAGGGCACUUGGCCAAGGUCAUUCAGCAAGGACACACACAUACACACACAAACACAAACAUGGCUUUGACACAUGGUGACCAAAAAAUAAGUAGGGACCCAUGUGUCCAGACUCCCAGGCCCCCUCUCCAUUCUUUUGGAAGCACCUGGUCUUUCUCCCAAGGUAGCCAGGAACCUGGGUUCUAAUCAGGUCCCUGCUACCAUCUUGUUCUUGUUCUUGGGGAAGUCAUAUACCCUCUCUAGGCUUCAGUUUCUUACCAGUAAAAUGGGUAAUAGUCCUGUCCUGAUGACCUCCGGGGGCUAAAGAAGUAAACUUACUGGACAAACUGAAACCACCCCUGGGCCUCCAACCAGCCUUGGGCCAAGGGGAAGUACCCAUACAGACAUCCCAGCUCCUGGCCCACAAUCACCCAGCAUAGCCGCAGGACCUAUCCUGCUUCCUUCUUCCUGCACAGCACAACCACAGCAAGCUCAGAGCAGAGGGUCAAAGGCCCCGUCUGGAGUCCUGAGUCAAGUCCAGGGCAUGGGACAGGGGCCUCAGUCUGGGUGGGGGAUAAAGGCAGCUAGAGACUAGGUCAGGCUGACUGGCUGCUGUCGGGGGAGGGGGCGCCUGGCAGGCGCUGGGCAGGCUGGGGUAGGGGGAGGCCUUUGGCGGCCUCAGAGAACAAAGAGGCUGGGGUUGCCAGGAUAUUCUGUGGAGCUGAAGCCGGUGGUGAUGGGGCUGGGAGAGGGGCCGCAGCAGCCGUGGGAACUGCGCCUGCUGCCCCCACGCCAGCUCCCCCAUCCAGAGUGGGCCUCAGGGCCAUGCGAGGGCGCAGGCUGCGGGUGAGAGGGGCUGUCAGAUCCCCCACUCUCUCCCC